rnacentral:lncRNA from 10 species
GCUUUCGCUUUCCCUUCGCGGUGCCCACUCCACUCCUUGUGCGGCGCUAGGCCCCCCGUCCCGGUCAUGGCCAUGCUCAGGGUCCAGCCCGAGGCCCAAGCCAAGGUGGAUGUGUUUCGUGAAGACCUCUGUACCAAGGUAAGACAUGCCCCAUCAGCGUGGCCCCACCCCUGCCCAACUCCUACUGCUCAACCCUGCCUCACUACCUAGGACGGGCAUUUGAUGCUGACUCCCAUCCUCCUCCACCCCCACCUCACACACAGACAGAGAACCUGCUCGGGAGCUAUUUCCCCAAGAAGAUUUCUGAGCUGGAUGCAUUUUUAAAGGUACCGCGGCUGGGCAGGGAGCUAGGGAGUAAAGGCCAAGAGAAGAGUCUGGAGGCUGUGAGAGUGAGGUGAGAGGAACUCCCUCACCUCCAGCCCUCCUCCCACCCUACACCAGGAGCCAGCUCUCAAUGAAGCCAACUUGAGCAAUCUGAAGGCCCCAUUGGACAUCCCAGUGCCUGAUCCAGUCAAGGAGAAAGAGAAAGAGGAGCGGAAGAAACAGCAGGAGAAGGAAGACAAGGAUGAAAAGAAGAAGGGGGAGGAUGAAGACAAAGGUCCUCCCUGUGGCCCAGUGAACUGCAAUGAAAAGAUCGUGGUCCUUCUGCAGCGCUUGAAGCCUGAGAUCAAGGAUGUCAUUGAGCAGCUCAACCUGGUCACCACCUGGUUGCAGCUGCAGAUACCUCGGAUUGAGGAUGGUAACAAUUUUGGAGUGGCUGUCCAGGUGAGAGCGCUGCCCCACUUCCCUGCUCUUUUCUAGUCCAUGCUUCCUUCCACUUUCCCCCUUGCUUUUUUUCCCUAGGAGAAGGUGUUUGAGCUGAUGACCAGCCUCCACACCAAGCUAGAAGGCUUCCACACUCAAAUCUCUAAGUGAGUGACCACCCAUGUGCACACUGUUUUUGUUUU